GAUCGGCAAAAGUAACUAUUAGUGUACAUAUUUACCGUAGCAUUAGCCACGAUUCAAAAGAUCAUGGAAACGAAAAUCAUGCUAUGCUUUGUUUUAUUUGCUUGCGUUUGGUACGCAGAUGGCUGCAACCGAGAUGAUAAAAAAAGGCUCCUUGGCCUAAACCUGUAUUUAGUAGGCAUUGGUUGUCGUUACAUCAACGUAUGGAGAGACAAGAAAGGAGUGUUGUAAAGGACGGAGGUCAAUUUAGUGUCACACUUCAAGCUCAUCCGUGUAGAUUCGAUACCUACGACCCAGACCGAGACGGAGAAAUAGUAAGACGGAAGUACAGGCUAUAUUCGGAAUUGACGGGGAGACAGACUCUCUAUUCGCGGAGCUAAAUAUAAUGCCAGAUGAUGGAGUUAUCAAACCAGACGAAUUCUAUGCCAAAGUACCUCAGAUUAUAACUCAGUGUUUAGAUACCUCCAACUAAACAUCCCAGGAAGAUGUGUUUGCAUAAAUAAACGGAAAACAUUAUUUACAAUAUGACAUAUUUAAGUUACUAUUGUUUAUUGUAUUAAAUCACUUUCUUUCUACGGUUUCUUUUUUAAAAAAUCUAACAUGCCUUUCUUUUAUUUGCUGAAGUAGGGUAAAUGUAGUCAUCAUGUAGAUAAUAUCUUUUAUCAAAAUUAUUGUCAGCUAGCUGUUGUCUGUUGCCACAUUCAUUUUAAAAAUUUAGUACUCUAUUAAUUUAUACCAUCCCAGUUGUCAAAAUGAAAAUGUAAUGUUUAGUGAAAUAUAUAUAUAUAUAUAUAUUUUUACAAUCGUACUUUUAUGUCGUGAUAGACAUCUGGUGGUUCGUUGUGUAAGUCAUAGAAACAAGCAUAAUAAGAAAUAAAAUAUUAUUGACAGUUUUAGUCUUAAAAAUAAGAAAAUGUAGAUAAAUGAAAUUAUAUUUCGACGAUUUUUACAAUUUUAGUGUCAUGUUUGAGAAACAACACGACAUGCAUUUCAUCACUUACACUAAAGGAACAAUAACCGUUCCGCAAAAAGGACUAACGAAGCUUUCUCUUUCAAGUCAAAUGAUAUGUCACAAAUUUAAACCCAUAUUGGCUGAUAAUCUAGUGAAUUAAUUCGAAUUGUUUCAUGUGUUAUCUUUACAUCCGUGCGUUAUUUCAAUCAGAUUCAGUUGUAUAAACAUUAUCAAUUGUACUUACAGGAAGCCAGACUGAACCAAUGAAAACAGAUUUUACAAAAAGACAUGCAUGAGCAAUCGGGAACAAUUUUUUUUAAUUUUUUUUAAAGCCAUUAGUGUUAUAACUUCAUUUUGGGCAGCAUGUUAAAGUCGAUUCUGUUUAUUGCACAUUAUCAAGUUCAUUGUUGAACCAAACUCAAUGGUGUUUCAUUCGUUUAAAAGCACUGCCAGUAGAAGUUAUAAUUAUGCAAGGUAAACACUGGUAUGAUAUAUAGAUAUACUACCGUACAUGUUCAGAUGAUGUUAUAGACGUUCUCUUUGGUUUACACGUAACAUGUUCAAAUAUAUGAAACAUCUAGCAGAAUAGAAAUUAUAAAACAAAGGAUUUUUUAUCAAAUCUAUUUUUAUGUCCAUUAUAUACAUGUCAUAUAAUCUACGAUUUAUUUAACAUGGCUUAACGAAUGCUUACGAAAUGAGCAGUAGCAAAAUGAAUGUAAAUACAUUAAUAUUCUAAAUGUAUCCAGAUGUAUGUAUGUGACUGUGUAGUUUAGAAGCCCUUAUAAAAAGUGCUCUUUUCUAAUGUAUCCAUGAAUUACAAAAAAGAAAAUAUAAUGAAAUGAAUGAACUAGCACGCAAAAAUUGCUAAUUAAAGAUAACCACAAAGGCACCUUGUCCGAACGUUCAAAAGAGUAUGGAUGAUUUUUAAGUUGAGCACAGCCACAUUCAUGCAUCAAACGUCACCUAAGUCCGAAAUUUCUACAAUCAGAAAAAGUUCCAUGAAGUUUAUAUAUUUAUGCAUACUACUGUAACAUUCUUAAAGAUCUUUGAAGGUGAAUGUACGUUCCUGAAGAAAUUAAAAGGUGUAUCAUGGUUGGAACUAUUUCAUGCCCUAAGCGACUUUAAAAGAGUUAUUCGAUUAAAGGGGUUAAUUUUGAUAGAAAA
rnacentral:lncRNA from 1 species